rfam:Ipomoea nil DNA, scaffold: scaffold0805, cultivar: Tokyo-kokei standard.
CUGCUAUGAUGUGUCUCUUACGUUUUAAAGGUCUGUCAAGAUCUGAUGAUACAUUGGCGAAAUUGCCAAUUCUGAGCGGUUACCUGAGCAG